GGCCUGAUGGUCUAGGCGUAUGAUUCGUUGUUAGGGUGAGCAAGGUGCGCUGAAGAUUCUUUCGACGAGGUCCCGGGUUCAAUUCCCGGUCAGGCCC